rnacentral:rRNA from 1 species
GGGUGAGUAACACGUGGAUAACCUACCUAUAAGACUGGGAUAACUUCGGGAAACCGGAGCUAAUACCGGAUAAUAUAUUGAACCGCAUGGUUCAAUAGUGAAAGACGGUUUUGCUGUCACUUAUAGAUGGAUCCGCGCCGCAUUAGCUAGUUGGUAAGGUAACGGCUUACCAAGGCAACGAUGCGUAGCCGACCUGAGAGGGUGAUCGGCCAUACUGGAACUGAGACACGGUCCAG